GUAUGAUUAAGGAACCUUUCCCAGAUUAGGGAUCCUUACUGGAGGGGUCCUCAAGCAGCUUCUUUUGCUGCUGCAUCAGCCAGUUGAUUAACUGGAGAUACUUCAUCAACUCCUUUUUGGUAUCCUCUACAGUGAAUUAGAACCACUUUGGAGGGCAUAGAGACAGAUGAUAAAAGUUCUUCUAUCUCCUUAUGAUAUUUUAUGGGAGAUUCAUUGACUGUCAGAUAAUUUCUUUCUUUCCAUAUGGCUGCUUGGGCAUGCAGUAGUAGGAAAGCACACUUUGAAUCAGUAUAAAUGUUGACUUUUUGUCUUUUUCUGAGUUUUAAAGACCUUGUCAGAGCUAUGAGUUCUGCCAGUUGGGCACUAGUCCAGGGACAAGUGAAGAACUUUCAAGUCUCUGAUGUAGAGUCACUACAGCAUACCUUUUCUUUCUUGUCCCAUUCUCCAUGAAGGAACUGCCUUCACAGAAGAGAAUUAAAUCAGGGUUAAUAAUGUCUAACAAGUCUUCUCUGGCUGUGUACAUGUGUAGAAUUACUUGUUCACAGUCAUGUCUUUCAGUCUCAAUUUCCUUCUUCUCUGGUAGAAAGAUGGCAGGGUUUAAGGAGGAGCAUGUCUUUAUUUAAAUGGCUGGUCCUUCUAGAAGUAGAGUCUGGUAUUUAAGAAGUCUGAUACCCAUAGCCUCCCUUUGGAAGAAAGAAGUCUUGCCACAAUGUGAGGAGUAUAUACAGUGAGAUCUUCACCUAAAGUCAUCUUGGAUGCCUCUGGGAAUAGGAGAGCCACAGCAACUACUGCUCUAAGGCAUGUAGGCCAUCCCUUCGCUACAAUCUCUAAUUCAUGACUCAGAUACCCCACAGGCUGUUUAACAGGUCCUCAAUCCUUCAUAAGCACUCCCAAAACCAUGCCCUGCCUUUCAUCAACAUGCAGGUUGAAAUGAUAUCCUAUUGGUAGGCUCAGUGUUGAGGCAUUUAGAAGCACCUUGUUUAAGCUUCUGAAAUACAGCUUGGGAAUCAGGUUCCCAGGUUAAAAUAUAGGUAUCUGCCUUUUGGACUUCCUUUAUAAGCUGAUUAGAGGGGUUGUGCAAUCUCACAAUACCCUGCUAUCCAAAGGCAACAAAAGCCUGUAAUUCCUAGAGAUUCCCUUAGCUGUUUUAGGGUCUUGGGCUGUAGGAAGGAAAGUAUUGGUUUAAUUCUCUCUUUCCUUAGCCUUCAGGUUCCCUUAGAUAUGAUAAAGCCCAAGUAUUUUACCUCAAGGUUGUAAAGUUGUGCCUUAGACCCAGAGACUUUGUAACUUCUGUCUGCUAAGAAAUUCAGCAGAGCAUGGGUGCCUUGGCUAGGGAGUUCUUCUGAGGGAGUACAUAACAGUAUAUUGUCUACAUAUUAUAAAACUGUGACUUAGGGAAAUUCAAAACAUUCCAAGGCAUGGGAAAACACUUGUCCAAAAAGAUGAGGACUGUCUCUGAACCCUUGAGGAACCACAGUCCAAAUCACUUGAGAGGCCUGGUCAGGAGGAUUUUCAAAGGCAAAAAGAAACUGGGAAUCUGUGUGUAAAGGAAUACAAAAGAAGGCAUCUUUUAAAUCUAACACUGAAAACCAACUGGCAUCUUCCAGGAUCUGAGAAAGGAGAGUGAGUGGGUUAGGUACCAACAGAUGAAUUGGCACUACUGCUUCAUUUAGCAAUCUAAGGUCCUGUACCAACAUCCUUUUUCCAUUGGAUUUUUGAACUCCUAAGAUUGGAAUGUUGAACAGGCGAGUACAGACUUUAAGUAAGCCUUGGGCUCCUAAAUUAUUAAUUAUAGGAAAUAAUCCUCUCUUAACUUCAGGCCUUAGAGGGUAUUGUCUCUGGUGAGGAAAGAUAAUAGGAUCCUUGAGAUGUACUUGUACCAGAGCAGCUCUUAUUGUUCUUCCCAUUCUACCUUUAGUUGCCCAUGCUUCAGGAUUUAUUUCAGUGAAUGUGCCCUCAAUCUCUUCUGGACACCAAUAUUCAUUCAUUCAAGUACACACUUGAUUAAGGCUCUACAUGGAACAUUGUGACAAUUAUUCUUUUGGUUUUUCUUAAUGCUUUGUGUACUUGAUCCUCUAACCUAAAAGUCAACAAAUCACAACCCAUGGGCCAAAUCUGGUCCUCAGUUUUUCUAUGGCUUCACAAAUUAAG
ensembl:lncRNA